rnacentral:lncRNA from 1 species
GACGUUUUUCUGCUGUCCUGCUCUUGGAGAAAAUGAAACACAUUGAAAUGUACAGGCCAGCAGACCUCAGAAAGCCCUGACACCUCCAGGAUAUGGUUAACCUCUGCUGCAGGCAGACAGCAGUGUGUUGACUGAAGACCUGGGGUCUGGCAGGCAUGUCCCGGAUUGCCAGAUAGCGGUAUUUCAGCUCUACGCCCUUGAACAAGUCAUGAAGCCUCUCUCAAUCGCAGAUAUUACAUCUGUAAGAUGAAGGUGUUUAUGUCUUAUAUCUAAAAUGUUAUGUCUAAAAUGUUUACUCUGAACUUGUCUGUUUUCA